AGAAAGAGUGGGGUCAAAAUAAUAAAUCAUCAUAAUUAAACUGGUCCAGUUUUUGAGUGUUUGGUUUUGAGCGUUUUUGUUUUUUUUUUUGAGUUUUUUUCUUUAACCAAAA
rnacentral:ribozyme from 13 species